rnacentral:lncRNA from 1 species
UAUUAAUGAAAUAUUAGAAUUAUCACAAAUAUAUCUCAAAUACAUCUCAAUUCAAUCUUAAUUUAAUCCUAAUUAAAAUCCUAUUGGACUUCAUUCAAACUUUAGGCCAAAAAUUAACUAAAUCUUAAAUCCUAAACAAAUCCUAAUAAAAAUCCUAAAUCCUAAAUCAAAUCCUAACCAAUCCUAAAUCAAAUCUUAAUCAAAUCCUAAAUCCUAAAUCAAAUCCUAACCAAAUCUUAAAGCCUAAAUCGAAUCCUAAAUUCUAAACCAAAUCCUAAAUCCUAAACCAAAUUCUAAAUACUAAAUCAAAUCCUAAUCCUAAAUCGAAUCCUAACCAAAUCCUAACCAAAUCCUAAUAAUUUCUACAACAGAUUUAAACCUCAAUAAUUAAUGAAUGAACUGUUGAUCUUAACUCAAAUUUUGCAUAAUUCUUAAAAACUAAGUUAAAAAUAAGCACAAAAAAAUUGAAAAGGACCAAAAUUACCAAAUAGACGAUAACCUCAAAAAUGUGCUUGGGUAUUGGCCG